CUACGGGGUGCAGCAGUGAGGAAUAUUGCACAAUGGGGGGAACCCUGAUGCAGCAACACCGCGUGGAGGAUGACGCAUUUCGGUGUGUAAACUCCUUUUAUAUGUCAAGAAAAUGACGGUAGCAUAUGAAUAAGCACCGGCUAACUCCGUGCCAGCAGCCGCGGUAAUACGGAGGGUGCAAGCGUUACUCGGAAUCACUGGGCGUAAAGGACGCGUAGGCGGGUUGGAAAGUCAGGUGUGAAAUCCUACAGCUUAACUGUAGAACUGCACUUGAAACUUCUAAUCUAGAGUAUGGGAGGGGGAGAUGGAAUUAGUGGUGUAGGGGUAAAAUCCGUAGAUAUCACUAGGAAUACCUAAAGCGAAGGCGAUCUCCUGGAACAUUACUGACGCUAAGGCGUGAAAGCGUGGGGAGCAAACAGGAUUAGAUACCCCUGUAGUC
rnacentral:rRNA from 1 species